UUAACAUACAGUGAGAGUUGGGGGCUAUUAAUUUGAAAAACAAACAUCAUCCAGAGCUUCCUGUUAAGAAACAGUUAUAUCUGAGAAUUAUUUUGACAUCUAAAUGACUUUUUCUAUCCCACAAAUGAAGGUUUGUCUGCAAAUUACUGUACAGUUACCAUAUGUUUUAGGACAAAUGUCAG